rnacentral:rRNA from 1 species
UACGUAGGGGGCAAGCGUUGUCCGGAAUCAUUUGGCGUAAAGCGCGUGUAGGCGGCCCGGUAAGUCCGCUGUGAAAGUCGGGGGCUCAACCCUCGAAUGCCGGUGGAUACUGUCGGGCUAGAGUGCGGAAGAGGCGAGUGGAAUUCCUGGUGUAGCGGUGAAAUGUGCAGAUAUCAGGAGGAACACCAAUUGCGAAGGCAGCUCGCUGGGACGUGACUGACGCUGAGACGCGAAAGCGUGGGGAGCAAACAGG